rnacentral:tRNA from 1 species
GUUUCUGUAGUUAAAGUGUUGUAACGAUGGCUUUUCAGGCCGUAGAUCUCGGAGAGAGGCCGAGCAGGAAUU